GAAGUUGGCAAGCGUUGUUCGGAUUUACUGGGCGUACAGGGAGCGUAGGCGGUUCGGUAAGCCCUCUGUGAAAUCUCCAGGCUUAACCUGGAACAGUCGGAGGGGACUGCUGGGCUAGAGGACGGGAGAGGAGCGCGGAAUUCCCGGUGUAGCGGUGAAAUGCGUAGAGAUCGGGAGGAAGGCCGGUGGCGAAGGCGGCGCUCUGGAACGUUUCUGACGCUGAGGCUCGAAAGCGUGGGGAGCAAACAGGAUUAGAUACCCUGGUAGUCCACGCCUUAAACUAUGAAUACUAAGUGUCGGCGGUUUACCGCCGGUGCCGCAGCUAACGCAUUAAGUAUUCCGCCUGGGAAGUACGGCCGCAAGGUUG
rnacentral:rRNA from 1 species